CGUGAACUGCAGGCUCAACUUGCAUCCGGGGCCUUUUCCCGGCCUUGGCGGGGUGGUAAAUGGGGAGGCCUAGCAGCCGCCGCCGGUAUCUUUUGCUCUGGACCAGGUGGCGGGAUCUAGGGUUCUGUUGUCACCGCGCUAGGGAGCGGUCAGGCUGGGCGGCGGAGCCGGGCUCGGGGGUUGCAGUAGAUGAGACACCGCUGCUGGUUGCCAGACUUGGUGUAGAAGGUAAAGCACAGUGAAAUAAUUCAAGAUGGUCCCUAAUAUAAACUGGAAAGAAAUCAUGAAAGUUGACCCAGAUGACCUUUCUUGUCAAGAAGAAUUGGCAGAUAAUUUAUUCAUUUCCUUAUCUAAGGUGGAAGUAAAUGAGCUAAAAAAUGAAAGUCAAGAAAAUGUGAUACACGUUUUCAGAAUUACUCAGUCAGUAAUGAAGUUGUUUAGAUGAAAGCUCAAGAGGUAGAGCUAGCUUUAGAAGAAGUUGAAAAGGCUGGAGAAGAGCAAGCAAAAUUUGAAAACCAAUUAAAAACUAAAGUAAUGAAACUGGAAAAUGAACUAGAGAUGAGGAAACGGAGGCACAGAAAGCCUAAAGCACUGAACCUGAUUACUUUUAUUCUGAUGGCUCUCUUCUGCUCAAUAUGAGUGCUGUUUCAAAGACUCCAAGGACAUCAGACCCUUGCCCAGCAACUCACGGCUCUCCUGCGUUUAAGGGCACCAAGGCCAUUCUGAGAAUGCUCUUCUAAGACAUACAGCCAUGUGCUGGUGCAGCCAACAUGGAAGUGAACUCUCUCACUGUGGACAUUGACAAUAAAUCCUAUCAGAAGGACCCAACAGAAUACCCUAGAAGAGGGUACCUAGGCCUCAACAAUCAGAAAUCACUGGUUCAUUAGUGCUACAGUCCAGCUUGAACCAAAGAAAUGUUUAUUCUAAUGGGAAACACUUAGCAACAAAUUCAUCCAGCAAUUAUUUAUUGUCUUAUUAGGUGCUAGCACUGUACUAGACACAGAAAAGGAUAGGAAACAAAGCCACCUCCCGUUUCAAGAUUUGUACAAGUCAGAAGGAAUAACAACAGGUAGACUGGCUAAAGUUCACAAAACAAGAGAAUUAACUCAAAAUAUGUAUGCAGACAUUUAACCAGAAAAUUGCAGAACAUAGAAGAGAAAUGUGUUAGCUGAAGAGAAAUUAGGAUCUAGAAUCCAUGUGGGCUAGGGCAGUCAGGGAGAGAAGAAUUUAGGAGAUGAAUGGGAGAAAUUAUUGAGGCCACUAGGAGGAAUUUUGAGUCCUUUUAAAGAUUCCAGACAUUUCACUGGAAAAGGUAGCAUCUGGCUAUAUUACUGCCAGAGGCCAUUGUCCUCCUGUGAGGCUGAAAGGCCUUGCCAUCUGCUGGAUGAUACUAAUGCUAAUACAGGAGCCAUUUGCUUAUUAUGACUUCUGCCCAGGAGGGAUGGAUUUACCCACAAAUCUAAUAGCACCUGGAAUGGAGUAAGAUAUGUUCUUGGAAAUCUCCCAGGCUGAAGUCUGACUGCUCUUAAGAGCUCUUCAUGAGAUAGUAGGCAAGAGUUGCUUAGGGAUCAUUUAUCAAUAAUUGGUGUGUUGGGAGAAGUACAAAACUUCUUUGGCAGAAGGAGGUAAACUAGGAAGAAUCUGAGAACCCCAGGGCCCUAAUUACCCUUCCCUUUCAUCCACCCUGCUUUCCCAGACCUACAAAAGGCCUCUGGUCUUCAAUGGUGAAAGAGUCACUUCUGAAGGGAGGAGAGAAAAAGAGGGAAGCAUUCUGGUAAAGGCCCCACUCUUCUUUCUGAGUUAGAAUUUCUUCUCUAGAUCGUAUUAUAGAAGUGGGGACAAUGUUUCCAACGGGCUGUGUUAAAAUAUUUUCUGUGACAGAGAAUUGGAGGCUCCAGGAGCCCUUUUGCCGUCUCAUUGGCAAAGAUUAUUAUUUCCGUGACACUCUGGAAAGACCGGUGCAUCUGGGGUGAUAGGAAAGGGAGGGCCAGACGUGGUGGAGUGCCCCCUCAUGGUUCCAGCCAUUUGGAAUAACCAGAGCACACCUCUAUCUUUCUGAUGAAUCAAAACUUUUCUCCCAGUAAUAAUAUUGAUUCUUUGCUACUGAAAUUGCAAAUACUUUUAUCCCAUUUGCUACUAGCUUCUAGUUCUGCUUAUGACCGUUUUUACUUACCAACGGAUUUUCAAAUAGCCAGCUCUACCAGCCUUGGCCUCUAUAGUUUCUACCUUUGGGUUGUACAUAAAGAAGCCUUCAAUAUCCAAUAUUAUAAAUCUAUAUUUCUUCUAAUUCUUUAGCACUAAUCCAUUCUUCUUUUGGGGUAUGACAUAACAAUCUAGUUUUAUUUUGUUUUUCCACAUAAUUAACUGAUUUUGCCAGGAUGACCUGUGGUUUUAUCCAUUCCUUCAAAUACUUGAAAUGCAUCUUAAUCAUACACUAAAUAUUUUAUAUACUUGGGUGUGGUAGAUUGUAGAAUCCCAAUCCUGACAAAUAUUUAAGAGCCCCUCUUAUGGAACCCCUCUGCAGGAGAACAGAACAUAUCCUGUGAACUCAGAUGUAGCCUUGUAACUUAUGUUGGUCAAUGAAAUGCAAGCAGGUAAGACAUGUAUCACUUACGAGCAGGUGGGUUAAGAGCCAGUGAGUGGUGGCUCAUCAUACUUUUCCAGGUUUGUAACAACACCAUCAAUGUUUCUAGAUAGAUCCUCCUCCACGUUCCCAGGUCCCAGGAUGAAAGCCACAUGGACAAGAGCUCAGCUGAACCAUAUGGAUAUAUAGCUUAUGACCCAUAUGGACACAUAAAGGCAAAAAAUAUACCUUUAUCAUAGUAAACUCCUGAGAUGUGUUACCAUAGCAAAACCCAGUCUAUCCUGACUAAGAUGUGUUUCUGGCCUCUCUCCUAUGCCCACUCUUGUGUCAGUUCUUAAUUAGCUAGACCUCAUCCAACUAAGACUAAAAAGAAGCAUCAACUCUCACCUGAAAGUCCUGGGAAACAAAUCAAGAAAACAAUGCACCCAAACUGCUCCCUCAAAAGUUUUACAUUUUGGUUAUUUUCUUCCGACAUUCAGCAUUCCCGAAUGCAGAGUGGCAAGCUGUGGGGAUUGAAAAGGAAGGAUAAAUACUUGGUGAAAAGCAGAAGAGUUGCAUUAAUGCUUGUCCUUUAGGGUGUAGUGUUAUCUUCCCCACACUAAUAUAAGAGCCCUGACAACAGAGUGGGUCCUCAUGGGGUUGCCUGUGUCACCAUUUCCCCUGUGAGCAUCUCUCUCUGUCCAUUGCUCCUUUUGGCCUGACUCAAAGCUCCACGUCAAAUGGUAAUAUUGGGUUUGCAGGAGUGGUGUGGGGAAGUAAAGAAUGGAAUUUACCUUGGGAAGUGCUGAAAGGUCAUAAAGCAGGAAGCCAUUAAAAUUUUGCCAAAAUUCUA